CAACUGCUUCAACCUCAGCCCCUAGCACCACCUCUUUGGUUGUCAGCAUGGCAAGCAAUAUGAACACUGCAAACAGCCUUGGCCUGAGUGUUACCGGUGUGUCUAUAGCAGCUUGCUACCACAUGGACAGCUCCCUUGGUGUCUUCAGGUAUUCGAUGGGUGAGCUUCUACGAGCACAUCAUCAUAGUGGGAACGGGGCAAGGUUCCUUCCUGUUUUACAGCAUCAGAGCCCAGAGGUUCCUGGGUGAAAAGCCCCACUGUGCCUGCCAUGGACAGAAGCAGAAAUAGGAGGAAGCAGAGUUUUGCAGUUGACUACUGGGAAAGGCUGGCUGAAUCCUGAUGAAACCUGGAGGAACUAUUUUUCUGACCCAAAUUUCUUCCCAAAUGCUCUUCAAACCCACUGCUUUGACUCGUCUGGGACAAAACUCUCUGUGGCAGGAGGUCCCCUUCCAUCAGGACUUCAUGGAAAUUGCACUGGUCUCUGGAGCUAAUGAUAACUCUUUACAAAUGCUGGUCUUUACACAGAUUUCGCCUUUUCUUCUCCUUUUUUUAACAACAAAACCAUGUGAUGCUGUUGUUUUCUGAUUUCAAGGCAAGUUAUUUUUUGGCAGAGAUUUCUGUUGGUCUCCAGCAGUUUUGUUCCUCUUUUUGAAGCAGUUUUUUGCUUUAACCUCCUUGAUGCUUUAUAUGAAGGGUUUUUGAAAUCUCUUUUUAUUGUAUUGAGUCCAGAUGCCUCUUCCCCCACAUUGAGGCUAUCUUGGCCAUGUGCCCCCUCCCCUACUUUGCUGUGAGAUAGGGUUCCUUUCUCAGAGAGGGGUUGCUCCUGGGCUUUCUGUGAAAGUCUGGGGGCUGCGUGUGUGCAGGUACUUUGUGUCAGUGAUGUUACCUGGAGUGAGGGCUACUUGUAAUCAAACAACAUUAGAUGUAUUUAUAAGAGAGAAGCUACUGCUUUAUCUGCAGACCUGGCCCUGGCCUGGGUUGAUCUUAUUUCUUAAAAGUACAGGUCUAAUGACACUGUUUAUACAUAGAGGAAUACGGUCAUUUUAAGCUGUACUUGUUGGAGCCCAGGGAUGGAUUCCCUGGGAGUAUUGCCCAUCAAGCCCAAACUGUAGGAGUGCAGGAGUUUUCAAAAGUGUGUUUGUAUUUGAAUUGUAGUUUUCAGCAGUGCUGGGAGCAAAAAUGGAUCUCUCUUCCUCCUCUGCCUGUCCCAGGUAUCAGCUUGCACAACUGGAGUUUGCGUAGGCUGUUCUGCAGCAUGGCUAUUGCAGGGGGACAUGACAUGGAGGGCCUGCAGAGGUGCUGAGGGAAAAUGGGGGCUAGGGGCAUGAGUGUUCUGGUUGUUCAAAAUGGACUAAAUCUCUCCAUUUUCCACAUGAGCCAAGGUUCCCGAGUGUGCUGCUGCUGUAGCUCAUGGGUUCUUCAUAACCUGCCUACAACCCAGGAUGUUUUUUGUCCCAGGCUGUGGAAACUUUUCCCAUUUUAGCUGUUCUGGUUGGCCAUCUCCUGUAAUG